rfam:Stegodyphus mimosarum contig125705, whole genome shotgun sequence.
GCCUUCCUGGUGUAGUUGUCAGCACGCUCGACACGUAUUCGAGAGCUCCAUGGUUCGAGUCCUGGCGAUAGCA